UUAGCAUCCUCCUAGAGGGAGAGAGUGGCCAAUUGUGAUAGUGUCGCUGAUUGGCUGAGAGCCGAGGACGCCAUGUUUUUACCAAACUGACGAUGACUUGGUACGAGUAUAAAUAGAUACUGUGUGUGAUUCUGUAUUACUGGUUCUUUUCAACGCUUCGAACGCAAAUUCCAUUGUUGUAUUACGGACAGUCAAGAGGAAUGCCUGGUUGCUCCGCUGUUGGGUGCAAAAACCGAAGUGAAGAUGGAUAUAUGAUGCUCGUUUUUCCAAGAAAUGCAGAAAGACGUAAACAGUGGGCAGUGAAAGUCAACCGAGAAGGUGGGAAUCGUAAAGGCGACUUAUGGAAACCAACAAAUUAUUCCUUUCUGUGUGAAGUCCUCCAGUACUCGUCGUUGAGGUUCAGGGGUGUACUGGAAACGUGCUCGAAAAUGCUCCACCCGCCUGUGUUGUGGAGAUCCAGGAACUGAUGUACUCUCUGACAAUCUUCUAGGAGGUGGCUGAGGAGGUGAUGG